ensembl:snoRNA U8 U8 small nucleolar RNA
UCGUCAGGUAGGAUAAUCCUUACCUGUUCCUCCUUCGGGAGGGCAGAUUGGAACAUGAUGAUUGGAGCUCGCAUGAUUCGUGAUUAACGUCUCUGCGUGGCCGGGACUUGCAACACCCUGGUCGCUCCUAUCUGAU